ensembl:lncRNA
GAAAAAUGUUGAAUAUCAACAAUGGGUUUCACUGCUGUAUUGUUGAGUUUUGUAUGAACUAAUCUUGCUUCACUAAAAAAGACCUACAGCUUGGACAAAAAAGUCUAAAGCCCAGUGCAUUCCUAGCUCGCCUUGCACUCAGCCAGGCACGGGCAGAGGGAAGACACCGCAGAGCAAAUGUCCUGAGCGCGAGCGGCUGCCCCGGGGUGCUUCUGAUUGGGGUGUGGAUUUGGAUUUAAAAAAAAAAAAAAGAAAAAAAAAAAAAAAGGUGCAUUAGGCCUUCGCUAGCCGAGGACAGGGCCGCCGAGCGAAGAGGAGCGAGGAGUGCUAGGAGUGCAAGGCGUGCACGGAGAGUGAGGCUCGUGAGGUGUAUAUGGACCGCGAGGUGUGGAAGGUGUGUACGGACUGCGCACGUGGACUGCCCGCGCCGGAUCUGACCUGUAGCCGUGGACGGGGCACCUGAGGGAAUUUUUUUUUUUUUGCUGGAAGUUUUGGCACCCCCCCUCCCCACCCCGGGAUGUGGAUAUUGGUCAGUGAAGGGAAUGGAGCAACCGGCUGCCUUAAAGUGGAGGCUCGUCCGCUCGCUAGUUGGGCCUGUAACGCUGCGCUCUGGUUGGGGCUGAAAACCCAAGAAAAAGUCUGA